rfam:Dipodomys ordii contig_16448, whole genome shotgun sequence.
GGGAAGGUAGCUCAGUUGUAGAGUGCUUGCCUUGCAUGCAUGAGGCCCUGGGUUCGAUUCCUCAGCACCA